AUCUGACCCUUUGGGGUCCGAGUUGUAAUUUGCAGAGGGUGUUUCGGGCACGGUGCCGGUUUAAGUCCUUUGGAACAGGGUGUCAUAGAGGGUGAGAACCCCGUAUGUGACCGGUCGCCAAACCCAUGUGAAACCCCUUCGACGAGUCGAGUUGUUUGGGAAUGCAGCUCAAAAUGGGUGGUAAAUUUCAUCUAAAGCUAAAUAUUGGCCAGAGACCGAUAGCGCACAAGUAGAGUGAUCGAAAGAUGAAAAGCACUUUGGAAAGAGAGUCAAACAGCACGUGAAAUUGUUGAAAGGGAAGCGCUUGCGACCAGACUUGCUCGCGGGUGAUCAGCGGUGCUUUUCGCGCCGUGCACUCAUCCGCGAUCAGGCCAGCAUCGGUUCAGGCGGCCGGACAAAGACUCGGAGAAUGUGGCUCCCUCCGGGGAGUGUUAUAUCUCCUUGUGCAAUACGACCAGCCGGGACCGAGGACCGCGCUUCGGCUAGGAUGCUGGCGUAAUGGUCGUAAGCGACCCGUCUUGAAACACGGACCAAGGAGUCUAACAUCUGUGCGAGUGUUUGGGCGUUAAACCCAUGCGCGCAAUGAAAGUGAACGUGAGGUGGGAACCCUUUCGGGGGCGCACCAUCGACCGAUCCAGAUGUCUUCGGAUGGAUUUGAGUAAGAGCACAGCUGUUGGGACCCGAAAGAUGGUGAACUAUGCCUGAAUAGGGUGAAGCCAGAGGAAACUCUGGUGGAGGCUCGCAGCGGUUCUGACGUGCAAAUCGAUCGUCAAAUUUGGGUAUAGGGGCGAAAGACUAAUCGA
rnacentral:rRNA from 1 species